ACAACGCUGGCGGCAUGCCUUACACAUGCAAGUCGAACGGUAACAGGUCUUCGGAUGCUGACGAGUGGCGAACGGGUGAGUAAUACAUCGGAACGUGCCCGAUCGUGGGGGAUAACGCAGCGAAAGCUGUGCUAAUACCGCAUACGAUCUACGGAUGAAAGCGGGGGAUCGCAAGACCUCGCGCGAUUGGAGCGGCCGAUAUCAGAUUAGCUAGUUGGUGGGGUAAAAGCUCACCAAGGCGACGAUCUGUAGCUGGUCUGAGAGGACGACCAGCCACACUGGAACUGAGACACGGUCCAGACUCCUACGGGAGGCAGCAGUGGGGAAUUUUGGACAAUGGGCGCAAGCCUGAUCCAGCAAUGCCGCGUGCAGGAUGAAGGCCUUCGGGUUGUAAACUGCUUUUGUACGGAACGAAACGGUGAGCUCUAAUAAAGCUUGCUAAUGACGGUACCGUAAGAAUAAGCACCGGCUAACUACGUG
rnacentral:rRNA from 1 species